rnacentral:rRNA from 1 species
AGUCGAACGGCAGCACAAGAGAGCUUGCUCUCUGGGUGGCGAGUGGCGGACGGGUGAGGAAUGCAUCGGAAUCUGCCCAUUUGUGGGGGAUAACCUCGGGAAACCGGGACUAAUACCGCAUACGACCUACGGGUGAAAGCAGGGGAUCUUCGGACCUUGCGCAGAUGGAUGAGCCGAUGCCGGAUUAGCUAGUUGGAGGGGUAAAGGCCCACCAAGGCGACGAUCCGUAGCUGGUCUGAGAGGAUGAUCAGCCACACUGGGACUGAGACACGGCCCAGACUCCUACGGGAGGCAGCAGUGGGGAAUAUUGGACAAUGGGCGCAAGCCUGAUCCAGCCAUGCCGCGUGUGUGAAGAAGGCCUUCGGGUUGUAAAGCACUUUUGUUGGGAAAGAAAAGCAGCCGGUUAAUACCCGGUUGUCAUGACGGUACCCAAAGAAUAAGCACCGGCUAACUUCGUGCCAGCAGCCGCGGUAAUACGAAGGGUGCAAGCGUUACUCGGAAUUACUGGGCGUAAAGCGUGCGUAGGUGGUUGUUUAAGUCUGAUGUGAAAGCCCUGGGCUCAACCUGGGAAUGGCAUUGGAUACUGGGCAACUGGAGUGCGGUAGAGGGUAGCGGAAUUUCCCGGUGUAGCAGUGAAAUGCGUAGAUAUCGGGAGGAACAUCUGUGGCGAACGCGGCUACCUGGACCAGCACUGACACUGAGGCACGAAAGCGUGGGGAGCAAACAGGAUUAGAUACCCUGGUAGUCCACGCCCUAAACGAUGCGAACUGGAUGUUGGGUGCACUUAGGCACUCAGUAUCGAAGCUAACGCGUUAAGUUCGCCGCCUGGGGAGUACGGUCGCAGACUGAAACUCA